CAGGCCUAACACAUGUAMGUCGAGGGGCAUCACGGGGCAGCAAUGUCCUGGUGGCGACCGGCGCACGGGUGAGUAACGCGUAUCCGACCUGGCCCUUGCCUCGGGAUAGCCCCUCGAAAGAGGGAUUAAUACCGGAUGUGUGCGGGAUAUGCAUGUUUCCUGCAUGAAAGGAAAACCGGCAAGGGAUGGGGAUGCGUCCCAUUAGGCAGACGGCGGGGUAACGGCCCACCGUGCCCGCGAUGGGUAGGGGUACUGAGAGGUAGGUCCCCCACACUGGAACUGAGACACGGUCCAGACUCCUACGGGAGGCAGCAGUGAGGAAUAUUGGUCAAUGGGGGGAACCCUGAACCAGCCAAGUAGCGUGAGGGACGACGGCCCUACGGGUUGUAAACCUCUUUUGUGCGGGGGUAACGAGCGCCACGCGUGGCGCGUUGAAAGUACCGCACGAAUAAGCAUCGGCUAACUCCGUGCCAGCAGCCGCGGUAAUACGGAGGAUGCGAGCGUUAUCCGGAUUUAUUGGGUUUAAAGGGAGCGUAGGCAGGAGCUUAAGUCAGCGGUUAAAUGGUGCGGCUCAACCGUGCCCUGCCGUUGAAACUGGGUUUCUUGAGAGUGCAAGAGGCGGAUGGAAUUCAUGGUGUAGCGGUGAAAUGCUUAGAUAUCAUGAAGAACUCCGAUUGCGAAGGCAGUCCGCUGGGGCACGUCUGACGCUGAUGCUCGAAGGUGCGGGAAUCAAACAGGAUUAGAUACCCUGGUAGUCCGCACGGUAAACGAUGAUUACCCGCUGUCGGCGGCAGACAGUCGGCGGCCAAGCGAAAGCGAUAAGUAAUCCACCUGGGGAGUACGCCGGCAACGGUGAAACUCAAAGGAAUUGACGGGGGCCCGCACAAGCGGAGGAACAUGUGGUUUAAUUCGAUGAUACGCGAGGAACCUUACCCGGGCUUGAAUUGCAUAUGAGUCGCGGAGAGAUCCGUGAGCCGCAAGGCAUAUGUGAAGGUGCUGCAUGGUUGUCGUCAGCUCGUGCCGUGAGGUGUCGGCUUAAGUGCCAUAACGAGCGCAACCCCUGUCCCCAGUUGCCAUCGGUUCAAGCCGGGCACUCUGCGGAGACUGCCGUCGUAAGAUGUGAGGAAGGCGGGGAUGACGUCAAAUCAGCACGGCCCUUACGUCCGGGGCUACACACGUGUUACAAUGGGGGGCACAGAAGGCAGCGACCGGGCAACCGGGAGCGAAUCCCAAAAUCCCCUCCCAGUUCGGAUUGGGGUCUGCAACCCGACCCCAUGAAGCUGGAUUCGCUAGUAAUCGCGCAUCAGCCAUGGCGCGGUGAAUACGUUCCCGG
rnacentral:rRNA from 1 species